rnacentral:rRNA from 1 species
AACNNACGCUGGCGGCGUGCCUAACACAUGCAAGUCGAACGUGAUUAGAGAGCUUGCUCUCUAUGAAAGUGGCGCACGGGUGAGUAACGCGUAGAUAAUCUGCCUGGUGAUCUGGGAUAACACUUCGAAAGAGGUGCUAAUACCGGAUAAGCCCACGGAGUCUUCGGACUCUGCGGGAAAAGGGGGGGACCUUCGGGCCUUCUGUCAUCAGAUGAGUCUGCGUACCAUUAGCUAGUUGGUAGGGUAAAGGCCUACCAAGGCGACGAUGGUUAGCUGGUCUGAGAGGAUGAUCAGCCACACUGGAACUGAGACACGGUCCAGACUCCUACGGGAGGCAGCAGUGGGGAAUUUUGCGCAAUGGGGGAAANCNUGACGCAGCAACGCCGCGUGAGUGAUGAAGGCCCUUGGGUCGUAAAGCUCUGACAGAGGGAAAGAAAUGUAUAGUGGCUAAUAUCCAUUGUACUUGACGGUACCCUCAAAGGAAGCACCGGCUAACUCCGUGCCAGCAGCCGCGGUAAUACGGAGGGUGCGAGCGUUGUUCGGAUUUAUUGGGCGUAAAGCGCGUGUAGGCGGUUUUGUAAGUCUGAUGUGAAAGCCCCGGGCUUAACCUGGGAAGUGCAUUGGAUACUGCAAGACUUGAGUACGGGAGAGGGUAGUGGAAUUCCCAGUGUAGGAGUGAAAUCCGUAGAUAUUGGGAGGAACA